AUACAAGGUUUGGAUCUGUUGGUCGGCGUAGGGUUGUCAAGCAGAUGUGGUUGUCCACCAGUCACCAAGGUAACUAAAAGUUGGCAAUCCUAAUCAAAUUCUGGAAAAGGGAGAAUGGAGUUCAAGGUAAACAUAUUAGAGUUCAAGGUAAAACGGAGAAUGGAAGACUAAAGAACUUUUAUUAAUCAAAAAGGUUGUAAUUCCCUUGCAUCAGCUAACUUCAAUUGUGCCCUCUACAAACAAAACAAAUUCU